rnacentral:tRNA from 1 species
GGGGCCUUAGCUCAAUUGGUAGAGCGCCUGCUUUGCAAGCAGGAGGUCGUGGGUUCGAUUCCCACAGGCUCCA